rnacentral:rRNA from 1 species
GAUGAACGCUGGCGGCGUGCUUAACACAUGCAAGUCGAACGGAAAGGCCCAAGCUUGCUUGGGUGCUCGAGUGGCGAACGGGUGAGUAACACGUGGGUGAUCUGCCCUGCACUUUGGGAUAAGCCUGGGAAACUGGGUCUAAUACCGGAUAGGACCAUCGUUUAGUGUCGGUGGUGGAAAGUUUUUCGGUGUGGGAUGAGCUCGCGGCCUAUCAGCUUGUUGGUGGGGUAAUGGCCUACCAAGGCGUCGGCGGGUAGCCGGCCUGAGAGGGUGUACGGCCACAUUGGGGCUGGGAUACGGCCCAGAAUCCUACGGGAGGGAGCAGUGGGGAAUAUUGCAAAAUGGGCGCAAGCCUGAUGCAGCGAAGCCGGGUGGGGGAGGACGGGCUUCGGGUUGGAAACUCCUUUCGCCAAGGACGAAGCGUUUUGUGACGGUACUUGGAGAAGAAGCACCGGCUAACUACGUG